AACCGUACAGUUAACCGCACGAUU
rnacentral:siRNA from 1 species